rnacentral:rRNA from 1 species
ACUGCUAUCGGACUGAUACUAAGCCAUGCGAGUCUUUGUAGCAAUACAAGGCAGACGGCUCAGUAACGCGUAGUCAAUCUACCCUAUGGACGGGGAUAACCUCGGGAAACUGAGAAUAAUACCCGACAGAACAUUAUGCCUGGAAUGGUUUAUGUUUUAAAUGAUUUAUCGCCAUAGGAUGGGACUGCGUCCUAUCAGUUUGUUGGUGAGGUAAUGGCCCACCAAGACUAUUACAGGUACGGGCUCUGAGAGGAGUGGCCCGGAGAUGGGUACUGAGACACGGACCCAGGCCCUAUGGGGCGCAGCAGGCGAGAAAACUUUGCAAUGUGCGAAAGCACGACAAGGUUAAUCCGAGUGAUUUCUGCUAAAGAAAUCUUUUGUCAGUCCUAGAAACACUGGUGAAUAAGGGGUGGGCAAGUUCUGGUGUCAGCCGCCGCGGUAAAACCAGCACCUCAAGUGGUCAGGAUGAUUAUUGGGCCUAAAGCAUCCGUAGCCUGCUAUGUAAGUUCUCGGUUAAAUCCAUACGCUUAACGUAUGGGCUGCCGGCAAUACUGCAUAGCUAGGGAGUGGGAGAGGUAGACGGUACUCGGUAGGAAGGGGUAAAAUCCUUUGAUCUAUUGAUGACCACCUGUGGCGAAGGCGGUCUACCAGAACACAUCCGACGGUGAGGGAUGAAAGCUGAGGGAGCAAACCGGAUUAGAUACCCGGGUAGUCCCAGCUGUAAACUAUGCAAACUCAGUGAUGCAUUGGCUUGUGGCCAAUGCAGUGCUGCAGGGAAGCCGUUAAGUUUGCCGCCUGGGAAGUACGUACGCAAAGUAUGAAACUUAAAGGAAUUGGCGGGGGAGCACCCACAAGGGGUGAAGCCUGCGGUUCAAUUGGAUUCAACGCC